GAUGAAGAACGUAGCGAAAUGAGAUAAGUAGUGUGAAUUGCAGAAUUCAGUGAAUCAUCGAAUCUUUGAACGCACAUUGCGCCCUUUGGUAUUCCAAAGGGCAUGCCUGUUCGAGCGUCAUUUGUACCCUCAAGCUUUGCUUGGUGUUGGGCGUCUUGUCUCUAGCUUUGCUGGAGACUCGCCUUAAAGUAAUUGGCAGCCGGCCUACUGGUUUCGGAGCGCAGCACAAGUCGCACUCUCUAUCAGCAAAGGUCUAGCAUCCAUUAAGCCUUUUUUUCAACUUUUGACCUCGGAUCAGGCAGGGAUACCCGCUGAACUUAAGCAUAUCAAUAAGCGGAGGA
rnacentral:misc_RNA from 1 species